AUGAUCCAAUGCAUGUAUGUUGUUUUCUUUCUUUUUUUUUUUUUUUUUUUUUUUUUUUUUUUUUUUUUUUUUUUUUUUUUUUUUUUUUUUUUUUUUUUUAAACUGAGCUGGACUGUUGAGCGGGACCUGCUUUUGUAUUCGGUGAAAAAUGGUAGAAAGUUUGUAAGCUAUUUUUUGGAAGGGGGAGGGGAGACAUUGUACAGUAGUGUUUUUAUAUAAAAAUGUACAGAUACUUUGACAAAUGUACACUUUUGUUACUUUAAUAAAAAUGUAGCAGCUUAAAGAAAACCA
rnacentral:lncRNA from 1 species